GGGGGAUAUUGCGCAAUGGGGGCAACCCUGACGCAGCAACGCCGCGUGAAGGAUGAAGGUUUUCGGAUUGUAAACUUCUUUUAUUAAGGACGAAAAUUGACGGUACUUAAUGAAUAAGCUCCGGCUAACUACGUGCCAGCAGCCGCGGUAAUACGUAGGGAGCAAGCGUUGUCCGGAUUUACUGGGUGUAAAGGGUGCGUAGGCGGCUUUGCAAGUCAGAUGUGAAAUCUAUGGGCUCAACCCAUAAACUGCAUUUGAAACUGUAGAGCUUGAGUGAAGUAGAGGCAGGCGGAAUUCCCCGUGUAGCGGUGAAAUGCGUAGAGAUGGGGAGGAACACCAGUGGCGAAGGCGGCCUGCUGGGCUUUAACUGACGCUGAGGCACGAAAGCGUGGGUAGCAAACAGGAUUAGAUACCCUGGUAGUCCACACCGUAAACGAUGAUUACUAGGUGUUGGAGGAUUGACCCCUUCAGUGCCGCAGUUAACACAAUAAGUAAUCCACCUGGGGAGUACGACCGCAAGGUUGAAACUCAAAGGAAUUGACGGGGGCCCGCACAAGCAGUGGAGUAUGUGGUUUAAUUCGACGCAACGCGAAGAACCUUACCAAGUCUUGACAUCCCUUGACGAACAUAGAAAUAUGUUUUCUCUUCGGAGCAAGGAGACAGGUGGUGCAUGGUUGUCGUCAGCUCGUGUCGUGAGAUGUUGGGUUAAGUCCCGCAACGAGCGCAACCCUUACGGUUAGUUGAUACGCAAGAUCACUCUAGCCGGACUGCCGUUGACAAAACGGAGGAAGGUGGGGACGACGUCAAAUCAUCAUGCCCCUUAUGACCUGGGCUACACACGUACUACAAUGGCAGUCAUACAGAGGGAAGCAAAACCGCGAGGUGGAGCAAAUCCCUAAAAGCUGUCCCAGUUCAGAUUGCAGGCUGCAACCCGCCUGCAUGAAGUCGGAAUUGCUAGUAAUCGCGGAUCAGCAUGCCGCGGUGAAUACGUUCCCG
rnacentral:rRNA from 1 species